AACGCGAAGAACCUUACCAGCUUUUGACAUGUCCCGUAUGAGAAACAGAAAUGUAUCUCUUCACUUCGGGUGGCGGGAACACAGGUGCUGCAUGGCUGUCGUCAGCUCGUGUCGUGAGAUGUUGGGUUAAGUCCCGCAACGAGCGCAACCCUCGCCCUUAGUUGCCAUCAUUCAGUUGGGCACUCUAAGGGGACUGCCGGUGAUAAGCCGCGAGGAAGGUGGGGAUGACGUCAAGUCCUCAUGGCCCUUACAGGCUGGGCUACACACGUGCUACAAUGGCGGUGACAAUGGGAUGCAAUGGCGCGAGCCUGCGCAAAUCUCAAAAAGCCGUCUCAGUUCGGAUUGCACUCUGCAACUCGAGUGCAUGAAGUUGGAAUCGCUAGUAAUCGCGGAUCAGCACGCCGCGGUGAAUACGUUCCCGGGCCUUGUACACACCGAGUAUA
rnacentral:rRNA from 1 species